CCCGGGCGAAGGGCGGGGGGGCAUGGCCGCAACCCGACCAGGUAUGUUUGCAUCCAAGUAGGAAUGCAAAGCAUGUGCUGGGCAGGCACUGGGACAGCAUGGAUCAAGUCUGGGCCAGAACUCUGAAGGAAUCCUUCCUGUGACAGCAAGAUGAGCAGAGACAGCUGGUUAGAAGAACAACAACAACAAAAACACAUCAUCAUUCCUGCUUUGGCUCCAAAAAAUCUUGGACUUGCUGUCAAGGAAGAAAGCUAUGUAUGUAAGGAGCCAAGAAAGAGACAAAUAUUAUUGAAUUUGGUAGCAUUUUAGUGAAUGUGCUGGAAAUAACUUAAGUAGGAAGAAAAGCUGGAUGCGCUCCAUUGUUUAUUAAAAGAAUGCCUCCUCUUAUUUCCACAGGGACCUAUAGCCCAUAUUGUCAUUAACACAUUUACGAGAUGUAUAUUUAAAAUAUGUUGCUUCACUCAUCAAUCUUACGGGCUCUUCUUGUAAAGAAGAGUUACAGCACAUAAAAAUAUGUACUGCCACAUAAAUAUAGUAGCUGCAAGCUAGAGGUGCCAACUGUGAAUACAGCUCCUUCAAUCAAGGAA